ACAGAAUCCUCUAGAUGGAGGAUGAGAAGCUCAACCGAGGUUCGACGACUGAGCAAAGCGAAGGCGAACAGCGAAUAGCUGGCCCCGAAGGGGUGAGGCCCGACGGGGUGAGGCCCGACGGGCCGAAUAAUCCUCCAUCCCCAGCCA
rnacentral:sRNA from 2 species